rnacentral:rRNA from 1 species
AUGGUUCAUACAGUUAGUAGAACAUGUGUUUCUGAUGAAAGUGACAAGAUCAAAUGGGCUUUGGGCUCUAAAAUUUACUUUACUACUAGGUCAGUUUAUUCUUUCCUGGAAAGGAAUAUCUCAGGAUGUGAUUAUCAUUGGAUAUGGAAGGCGUGUAUGCCUUUGAAGAUACAAUUUUUUAUGUGGCAACCCUCACAGAACGCGAUACUGACCAGAGAUGUGAUGAAACACAGGGGGUGGAAAAAGGACCCUAAAUGCUCUUUUUGUGCAUAGAAAGAAACAUCUCAGCACUUAUUCUUCACCUGUCCAGUAGACAGGGUGACUUGGAGAGCUGUGGCAUGUGUGUUUGGUACCGACUUGUGUCCUAACGACAUAUGGCAAGCUUAUUCCUGGUGUCAUUCCUUCUUCCCAGAUGGAGAGGUGUUUCAUACUGUUGGCAUUGCGGCCAUCUGCUGGGCUAUUUGGACUUGUCACAAUAGAGAUACAUUUGAAUUCAUUCCUCUUAAAAAUCCAUUUGAAUGUGCAUUUUCCACUUGUGCUCUUCUAGGUUACUGGGCAGGGUUGAUGAAAUAA